rnacentral:rRNA from 1 species
CAAGUCGAACGAUGAAGUUCCUUCGGGAAUGGAUUAGUGGCGAACGGGUGAGGAACACGUGAGAAACCUGCCUUUCAUUUUGGGAUAACUCCGGGAAACCGGGGCUAAUACCGAAUACUCCGUCUCGGCGGCAUCGCUGAGCCGGGAAAAAAUUUUGAUGAAAGAUGGUCUCGCGGCCUAUCAGCUAGUUGGUGAGGUAAUGGCUCACCAAGGCGACGACGGGUAGCCGGCCUGAGAGGGCGACCGGCCACACUGGGACUGAGACACGGCCCAGACUCCUACGGGAGGCAGCAGUGGGGAAUAUUGGGCAAUGGGCGCAAGCCUGACCCAGCGACGCCGCGUGAGGGAUGAAGGCCUUCGGGUUGUAAACCUCUUUCAGUAGGGAAGAAGCGAAAGUGACGGUACCUAAAGAAGAAGCACCGGCUAACUAUGUGCCAGCAGCCGCGGUAAUACAUAGGGUGCAAGCGUUGUCCGGAAUUAUUGGGCGUAAAGAGCUCGUAGGUCGUUUGCCGCGUCGAUUGUGAAAAUCUGAGGCUCAACCUCAGACCUGCAGUCGAUACGGGCAAACUAGAGUGUGGUAGGGGAGACUGGAAUUCCUGGUGUAGCGGUGGAAUGCGCAGAUAUCAGGAGGAACACCAAUGGCGAAGGCAGGUCUCUGGGCCAUAACUGACACUGAGGAGCGAAAGCGCGGGGAGCGAACAGGAUUAGAUACCCUGGUAGUCCGCGCCGUAAACGAUGGGCACUAGCUGUGAGAGCCUUCCACGGUUCUCGCGACGCAGCAAACGCAUUAAGUGCCCCGCCUGGGGAGUACGAUCGCAAGAUUAAAACUCAAAGGAAUUGACGG